AUUGAACGCUGGCGGCAUGCCUUACACAUGCAAGUCGAACGGUAACAGGUCUUCGGAUGCUGACGAGUGGCGAACGGGUGAGUAAUACAUCGGAACGUGCCUAGUAGUGGGGGAUAACUACUCGAAAGAGUGGCUAAUACCGCAUGAGAUCUACGGAUGAAAGCAGGGGAUCGCAAGACCUUGUGCUACUAGAGCGGCCGAUGGCAGAUUAGGUAGUUGGUGGGAUAAAAGCUUACCAAGCCGACGAUCUGUAGCUGGUCUGAGAGGACGAUCGGCCACACUGGGGCUGAGAAACGGCCCAGACUCCUACGGGAGGCAGCAGUGGGGAAUUUUGGACAAUGGGCGCAAGCCUGAUCCAGCAAUGCCGCGUGCAGGAUGAAGGCCUUCGGGUUGUAAACUGCUUUUGUACGGAACGAAAAGGCUUCCACUAAUACUGGGGGCUCAUGACGGUACCGUAAGAAUAAGUACCGGCUAACUACGUGCCAGCAGCCGCCGUAA
rnacentral:rRNA from 1 species